rnacentral:rRNA from 1 species
UGAAGCUGGAAUUGCUAGUAAUCACAGGUCAGCAUACUGUGGUGAAUACGUUCCCGGGCCUUGUACACACCGCCCGUCACACCAUGAGAGUUGAGAAUACCCGAAGUCCAUGUCAAAGUGGCCGAAGGUAGGCUUGAUGACUGGGGUGAAGUCGUAACAAGGUAUC